UCGACCCAGUUGCAUCAGAACUUUGCCCGUGACGGUUUUGAUACUUCGCGUGGCCUGCGUAACACGUAAACAUUUUUGGGAGUUUUGCAAAAGCCGGAGACGGAACACAUAAGUUUAGUGACUCAUAAAUGCAUGAAAUGUAUGAGUUUUACGGUUUAUAGGACGCCGAGCGAGUUUCUGCCAGCCUCUCACGUGAUAAAGAACGGAACAGAUUCUCGCAGCGAUCUUUCUAGCACGUGUUUCUCGUAUCUUUUUGUGCCUUUUUAGUACUUUAAUUUGUAUUUAGAUCUGAAACAUUUCCCUUUGCUGGCCAAGCGGACUAAUGGAGCCGAAAAACGCUACGUGGUUUUUCCAGAUCGCAGAGGGAGGGCUGCACCCCUCACUUCCACCAUGUGGAAGGGUCGUCUACUUAGAAGAAACUUGCAAUCUACACACCCACAAAUUCAAGGUGGCUGACAUGCACGCCUCCUCAGUGCAUGUUUUGGUUGAAUGUAGCACAAAUCCCACAAAGGCCAAACUGGCAUUACUUAAGGUAUCUCAGCAGGUUCUGACGGCUACAUCUGGGAGACUUGCCAGGAGCCUUUGACUUGUCGUUUGCCGCUGAGAGAUUGUAUGCUCCAUCAUCGUGGCCCGCAGAGUGAAAAUGAAGCAUAUUAGACCCCCCCAUUCCACUCGCCCCUGGACUGUACACUGGGAACAUCAUGUCUAAUGGCUAUAAAAGGUGCUAAACCCCUUUGGACUCACAUUUCAUUCUAUUGCAACAUGGAAUCAUAAUGUCCUAUUUUAGGCGUUUCCACCAUUGAUCAACAUAACAAAGUCAAAGAAAACAAGCCUCUACUCAACAUUGUAAAUGACCGUUAAAAAAAAAGAUUAUGUGAGUAGUUGAUCCUUUAAGCAAAUAUUUGGUACCACUGACGGAGAUUACAGCCAUGAUUCUUUGUAGGAGAUUUUUACCACAGCUGAUGAGGAACAGUAAUCAAUUACACCCCCGUAUUGGACUAGGUCACUCCGGAACAGUCAUCUGUAAGCCAUUCCUGAUUGUUUGAGUCAUUGUCCUGCUGGAACAGCGGGAUAUUUUCCUAAGUCCCAGGCCUAUUGUGGAGUGCAGCAGAUUUGCUUCCUGGAUACCCUGUGCUUUGCUGCAACCAUUUUGCCCUCUAAACCUCAUGCUAGCUGCACUAAGUUGCAUGGUUGCUAUGGCAUUUAUACCUCUGCCAAACAGAACUUAGAGUCAAUGCCAAGUAUCUUUGGUCUAAUCCAAGUGUAGAUUCCACUGUUACUGUCCGGCUUGGCUCUGACUAACUGUCAUUUGUGGCUUUUGAUUACUCCGUGAAGGCAUGUAUUUAAUUGUUACCACUGUUCUCGUUCCAGAAUACAGAUUCUUUAGAACUGUCAUUGGGUUUUUCUUGGCUUUUCUAGCUAGUUCUUACCACAUUCUUACCACGUUCUUACCAAAUUACUUACUUUGUGAGUCUGACUUGUUCCACAACCUGGAUUGCAACGGUAUUUUCCAUUUAUGGUAAAAUGCACAUGUGUGCCUUUGAACCUGAAUAUCUGUAGGACACAUUUAUUGCACACAAGUGGACUCAGUUUGUGUGGUUUCUAAAGAAAAUCAGAGGCACCAGAGUUGAGAUAACAAUUGGUAGGAUUUUAUUCAUUUUAUUUUACAUUAUUCCUUAUAUUAUUGUUUUCCAUGCUGUUUCGUGAUAAAUAUAUGAUAUGAGAAUAUCAACAGAUGUGAGAAUGUAUACUAUGUACAAUGAUAUGACUAAAUCAACAGUAAACAUUUUAUAUUUAUGACA